rnacentral:rRNA from 1 species
GUGCCAGCAGCCGCGGUAAGACGAGGGAUCCUAGCGUUGUUCGGAAUUAUUGGGCGUAAAGCGGAUGUAGGUGGCUUUGUAAGUCAGAUGUGAAAGCCCAGGGCUCAACCCUGGAAGUGCAUUUGAUACUGCGAAGCUUGAGUGUCGGAGAGGUUACUAGAAUUGUUGGUGUAGUGGUGAAAUACGUAGAUAUCAACAGGAAUACCGGAGGCGAAGGCGGGUAACUGGCCGAACACUGACACUGAGAUCCGAAAGCGUGGGGAUCAAACAGGAUUAGAUACCCUGGUAGUCC